rnacentral:lncRNA from 1 species
GGGAAUAUGUGACAGUAGAUCGAUUGAAACAAGUAUUGAACCAUUAUAAUCAUUAUGUUUUUAGAUUCUGUUCAACAUAUAACCUGGUGGCUUGAAGGAAAAUUUGGCAAGAUGACACUAAAGCAUGCAAUGAUAUACGGUUCUGCAUGUUGGAUGAUAAAGAGUAUCCAAGAAAACUUGCUGAAUGUAGCAGCAAUAAGAGUGCUGGAAUAUAUGUGUGGUAAAACAAGGGUGGAUAGAGUGAAAAAUGAGUAUACUAGAAGAGCUGUAAGGGAGGCACAUGUUGGGAAUAAGGUGAUGAAGAAUCAAUUGAAAUGAUAUAGGCAUGUAUAACAAUGAUUUGAUGGUGCUUCCACAAUGAGGGGAACCUUAAUUGUUGUUGGAUAAUGCGGGAAAGGUUGAGAAUGCCUAAUGUCACAUAGAUGGAAAUGGUGAGAAAAGAUAUGGAAUAACUUGAAAUAACAUCAGAUGUAGCCAUGAAGGGUAAUGCUUGGCAAACAAGGAUCAAUAAAACCAGUCUGAAAUACUUGGGACAA